AGUGAACGCUGGCGGCAGGCCUAACACAUGCAAGUCGAGCGGCAGCGCGGUGUAGCAAUACACUGGCGGCGAGCGGCGGACGGGUGAGGAAUGCGUCGGAAUCUGCCUCUUUGUGGGGGAUAACGUAGGGAAACUUACGCUAAUACCGCAUACGACCUACGGGUGAAAGUGGGGGACCGCAAGGCCUCACGCAGAGAGAUGAGCCGACGCCGGAUUAGCUAGUUGGCGGGGUAAAGGCCCACCAAGGCGACGAUCCGUAGCUGGUCUGAGAGGAUGAUCAGCCACACUGGAACUGAGACACGGUCCAGACUCCUACGGGAGGCAGCAGUGGGGAAUAUUGGACAAUGGGCGCAAGCCUGAUCCAGCCAUGCCGCGUGUGUGAAGAAGGCCUUCGGGUUGUAAAGCACUUUUGUCCGGAAAGAAAUCCAAUCGAUUAAUACUCGGUUGGGAUGACGGUACCGGAAGAAUAAGCACCGGCUAACUUCGUGCCAGCAGCCGCCGUAACAC
rnacentral:rRNA from 1 species